GGAUGGGAAGGUGAUCUGGCUGUGAUAUGUGUCACCCCACUGAUGAUGGCCAGUUUGAUUCGGCUGAUCUGGCAGGCUAGGCUGGUGUCUCCUUCCUCCCUCAAAUCUCCAUGUGCAUCCCUCCUGAGGCUUUGUGCUCCAUGGAGGAAGGUGACCUUCCCCCCAUAGAGGAGGAUUCAGUCAAGGGUAAAUGAGUAGCUGCAUCCCCCUGCUAGACCUCCAAACAAAUUCUUAAGGUCCAUUUGUAGUAGAACGUAGGGUAAUCGAGUUUCUAAGCCUCCAGACACAUUCAAAUGGGGCACUGCCUUUCUUU
rnacentral:snRNA from 1 species